GCUGCCUUAUGGGAGAGUAAGCUUAGCUUCCUUGUCUGGUACAAUACUGAAAUUCUGAGGGAGAAAAAAGACUUAUAUAUUAUAUUCCUAGAGGCAUAAGUUGCCUCUAGGAUGUCUGAUGCAGAAGGCAAAAGAAUCACCCAAUUUUCAUGAAGUGGGCUCAUCCAUGAGUACUAUGGAAAAAGAAGCAAGGAGUUUUUAGGAGAUUACAGCUCAUCUUAAAAACAGGUUCCGACGCUGCUGGCACUGUUGCAGUAGGACUGCUUCGCUGGAAAAAUAUACAUGUGUAUGGGAACCCUCAUCUCCCUCUCAUCCUAUCUGAAGAUGCCUGUGGUCCAGCAUUUCAAUGUUUUCCUACACAAAAUGACAUAUAUCCAUUAUCCUGUCCAGCUUCACUUUCUAUCACUCCAGUGCCUUCGUACAGCAGUAGUAGUCAAGAAACUUUAAGUUUAGAGUCUACGGUUUUCUCCUCAGGAAGCCUGGCUGUGGGGAAGAAAAGCAGGAGUAUUCAAGCCAGCAUGUUAUUAUUGCUCUGCCUACUGAAUGUGUUUCUGGUUUUGUUUAAAAUUAACUAUUUAUAACUAUCCCCAAAAAUCUGCCCCAGGGCUGGAUAGUUAUGAGUGUAGAAGAGUGGGAUAUUUGGCAGGUACCUAGAACAGUAGGCAACCCCAGUGUUUUGCACCUGAACAACUGCAGAAUCCUGAGAAACAAGUGAAAUAUUUUGAAAAGGUGUGCUGUCGCCCUGGCAAUUCUAGAGGGGCACAAAUAACUGCCACGUGCUGGGGUCUGGCUAGUGACUACCAAGUUUAACAUUAUUCAGCACUCUAAAGGGAAAGAGGUCUCCAGAUCUGAUGACAGUGCAACAGAGCCUAAGGUUGCUCCAAACCCUGCAGCUCAAUCAGGAACCAGCCCGGGCCAGCAUUGGUCACUGCU